CGACAUUUUAUUGAAAUCAUAUCAGUGUGUAGGGGGUUGGGGGGGGGUGUGUAAGUCCGCCACUGUUAGCAACCUGAAUUCAAAAUUAGCACCACCUCCCCCCUCCGAAAAAACCCAGUAAGUUUUUUCAUAGUAUCGACAAAAUAUUUUAUCCGUGUAUUUCAUAACAGUUGAUGUACAAAACGAAAUACUCCAGACAGCACACGCGUGUAUGAAAAUAAAUACUUAUAAUAUUAUAAAUUGUGUAUAGAGAAUUUUUAAACGAAAUGCGUUGUUAUGUAUUGCAAGAUUCGCGUACAGGGGAUUGCGGGGGGCACGGAGAGUGGCAUUGUGACCAGCACUUCUAAUGCCCGUGACAAAAUGCAUUGUAUUAAAAUAUCCCAAAGGCCGAACCGGCGAGAGAACAAAAAAAACCCCCCGAAAAAACCGCGGGCAUCCGAUACGCCCGUAAUUUUAGCGGCCCCGAUAUUCGGCGGUCUAGCGGCGACCGCGUGCCGUUUCCCCGUCGUUUCACGAGCGCCCGUCGAUCGUGUUUAAACGCGCGACGUUAUUAUCGACGGUAACGGAAGAGUUUCGGAAAAGUUUGUCCGCGGCGGCGUCGCGGUCGCAAGGCCAACGGCCCCGGGACCACGCGCGCCCCGGUAUAUCUACGCGGCUGUGCGGCAACCGCCGCCGCCGCCGCCGCCGCCGGACAGGUCGUUUAACUCUCGUUUUCACCUGCAGCCGAAACAACGACGACGACGACGACGACGAUAACACAAUUAUUACCAAUAACGUCCCGCCGGCCCGGCAACUCGGCGUACGACGCUCG